GAAAGUAUGUAUAAUGCUUACUAAAUCUGUGAUUUUUUUGAUUCCUUGGCUCUAAUAUAUAUAUAUAUAUUCUCUCAAUUAUUAGCAAGGAUUGCAUAAAUCUCUUAGUGAAGGUCUUGGAUUACAUGAUUGGCAACUGGCUUUUGUUCAUAAACUAUUGUCACUUCCUGUGGCUUGAAUUCGCCCUUGUUUCUUUGCUUGAAAACACACACACACUUAAAAUAUAUGUAUGCCUUCCUUCUAUAGCGCGCUAAUGUUUAUGGUAGAUGGUGGUUUACCUGGUUCUAUGGGAAUUAAUAGUUGAUGUGGAAGAUACGAGAAGAAAAGUACUUGCACUUAGAUUUUUUUUUUUUU
rnacentral:misc_RNA from 1 species